rnacentral:rRNA from 1 species
GACGUAGGAUGCGAGCGUUGUCCGGAUUUAUUGGGCGUAAAGAGUUCGUAGGUGGUUUGUUAAGUCUGAUGUUAAAGACCGAGGCUCAACCUCGGAAAUGCAUUGGAUACUGGCAGACUGGAGUGUAGUAGAGGCAAGCGGAAUUCCCAGUGUAGCGGUGAAAUUCGUAGAUAUCGGGAGGAACACCGGUGGCGAAGGCGGCGACCUGGGUCGAGACUGACGCUGAGGCGCGAAAGCGUGGGGAGCAAACAGG